AAAUCCCGCUGUAAAUCCGAUACCAGACAGCCUAGAAGAGUAAAUCGUCCAGUUCCUCUUUCCUGUCUUUCACAUAUAAGAAGAAAUUGGGAGCAAGGAUUUGGGCACAAUUCGUCUACAAUGAUCGUUGUGAACACGCCGAGGCCGAGCCAGGAGCUUGCCUUCACCAACUACGCCUACUGCUCCACCGGAGAUUUACGGAAGUUUGCAAUCCCUGGAUCCAGCCUUGCUCAGGUUAUCAUUGGAGAUUCUGUCGUUCUUACCCUUGUUAGCCAUGGUAACAUUAUGGAUGGUCAAAUUGCUCUGAAUGCUGUUCAGCGUCGGAACACAAAAGUCUCUGUUGGGGAUCAAAUAUCUGUUAUCACAUUUUUUCCACCAGCUAGUUUUUUUCUGGCAUUGCUUAAUCUUGAGCUGGAUUAUGUUAAAGCAAAAGACAAUAGAAAUGAAGAGUUAGAUGCUGUUGUUCUUGCACAACAUCUUCAUAAGAAGUAUAAUAAUCAGGUUAUGACAACUGGACAAAAGGUAUUGUUUGAAUUUCUAGGAACCAAUUACAUCUUUAAUGUUAACCAAGCUUUGGUAGAGGAUGAAGAAAAAGCAAAUGACAUUGAAAGAGGGAUAAUUACCAAUGACACAUAUAUUGUAUUUGAAGCUGAUUCAAGCUCAGGGAUAAAGAUUAUUAAUCAGCGUGAAGAUGCAAGUAGCAAGAUUUUCAGGCUGAAAAACGUUGAUCUCCAAAAACUUGGAAUAGGAGGACUUGGUGAAGAAUUUGGUCAGAUCUUUCGUAGAGCAUUUGCUUCUCGCGUUUGCCCUCCCCAUGUUAUAAAUAAAUUGGGCAUCAAGCAUGUGAAGGGCAUGCUGCUUUAUGGGCCUCCGGGCACGGGAAAAACACUUAUGGCUCGACAGAUCGGAAAAUUGUUCAAUGGAAGGGAACCAAAGAUUGUUAAUGGGCCUGAAUUAAUGAGCAAAGAUGUUGGAGAAACAAAGAAAAAUGUGAGGGAUUUAUUUGCCGAUGCAGAACAGGAACAAAGGGCACGAGGUGAUCAAAGUGACUUACAUGUCAUCAUAUUUGAUGAAAUUGAUGUUAUUUGUAAGACUAGAGGGUCAACAUGGGAUGGUACUGAUGUUCAAGAUGCUAUUGUGAACCAGCUACUAACUAAGGUUGAGGCCUUAAACAAUGUCCUCCUCAUUGGAAUAACCAACAAGAGAGAUUUACUGGAUGAAGCAUUAUUAAGGCCUGGGAGAUUGGAGAUUCUUGUUGAGUUCAACCUUCCUGAUGAAACUGGACGUCUCCAAAUCCUACAAAUCUACACGAAUAAAAUGAAAGGAAACUUUUUUCUAGCUGCAGACGUAAAUCUUCAAGAGCUCGUUGCACUGACAAAAAAUUAUAGUGGAGCUGAGCUUGAAGGUGUUGUAAAAUGUGCUGUUUCAUUUGCCUCGAAUAGACAAAUAAACAUGGAUGAUCUCAACAAAGAAGUGGAUGAAGAAAACAUAAAAGUUACGAUGAAUGACUUAUUGAAUAGCCUUCAAGAAAUUAUCCCUGCAUUAGGUGUUUCCACAUAUGAUCUCCAGCAGUGCAGAUUUAAUGGAAUGAUUGACUGUGGUGAAAGACAUAAGCAUGUAUAUGAAAGCAUCAUGUUUCUUGUAAGUCAAGUUAAAAAGAACAAGCGUGUCGAGCUAUUUGCUUGUCUCCUGGAGGGUCCUCAGGGAAGUGGUAAGACAACAAUAGCAGCAAGCAUUGGUAUUGACAGUGAUUUUCCUUAUGUCAAAAUUGUUUCACCUGCGUUGAUAAGAGGUCUAAACGAGAGCAGUAUAUGUGCAAAAAUUGUUCAGGUUUUUGAGGAUGCGUAUAUGUCUCAGUUGAGCAUCAUUAUUCUUGAUGACAUUGAAGUGGAAAGAAUAUGUUUGUUAUUGGAACUACAAGUAAGGUGGAAUUUCUCGAGUCUAUUAAAUUGUGUAGUGCCUUUUUUGUUACUUAUCAUGUCCCGGCAUUGGCCAAGGCAGAUGCCAUAAAGGUGUUAGAACAUCUCAAUGUUUUUGCAAGGGAUGAUAUUGAUGCAGCUGCUGAAGCAUUAGACGGGAUGCCAUUGAAGAAAUUAUAUUCAGUGAUAAACAGGGCUGCCACUGGAAAGGAAAAAGAUUGAUAUAAAU